AACGUUCUAUAUUUUCAAUUUUCAAUUUCAUUCCAAAGCUUCUGAAAAACCUCGUGACUCCGAUAACGAGAAGCAGGAAGAGGAGCGUAACCGAUGAGAGAAGACAAUGUGAAAGGAAACGGUACAACACACAUCAGAAGACCAGAGAGGUAAACCACCGGAAGAAAAGUAUCGGAGACUCCGCCGUGUAAUAAUACCUGCCGACAGAUGAAUCCUGGCCGGUUUUGCGAUUUUUGAUACGGCUCCAGAUAAGUUGAAUUCAACUUUGAACAUGUCUUUCUUGAUUUUGAUUUCUUUGAUUAUAAAUUUUGAUUUUUCAUGUUUCUUGAUUUUUUGAUCCGUUGUGAAAGGUUGGUUUUAGGGUUUGCUUCUAUUUCUUUGUUUCCUUUUCACUGAUCGUCUGUUAUAAAUGUAAUGAUAUGCUUUUCUCAGAUUGUAGAUAUCAAGAAUUUUACACAAUCACACUUUUUAUAUUUUUAUGGUUUGAAUCGUUGCUUCAAAAAUAGGGUUUUUCAUUCUCAUUCUCUCAUUACUAUUCAUCCAUUCUACAAUCACAGAAGAGAACAACACUCUUUGAUUCUACCACCAAGAAUCAAUCAUACAAAAAAUCAACAACAACAAGAGUUUUGCAAUGGCUUCAAGAAUUGUUCCUCAACAACAACACAAAGGAAACAGGUGAAGGAAGGAACCAAAGAGCACUUCUUGAUUGAGGAAGUCAAGCCAAAUCGCCCUGUCACAAGGAGUUUUUGUGCACAACUACUUGCCAAUGCAGAAACAAGCUUGUGCCAAUGGAGAUUCGAUCCUCUCCUUCACUAUUCUCUCCACUUCAGGGACUUGGUUUGGAGAACUUUUCUACUCUUCUUUCUUUAUUCAUAGCUUUUUUUACAACUAUUUUUCUCAACCUUGUUAACCUUUCUGUUUGAAGUGGAGAAAUUAAAGAUGAUUGCCUCUGUGCUGGGAUUAAUUUGGCAAUGUGAAUUUAUAUUUGAACACCUCUGCACACGUACACACACACUUCUCGAUUAUUCUUUGCAAGCUUGGACAAGAUAACGGUAAAUCAUCCUUAGGAUAUAAUUGGUCUUUUUAUUUUUUUUAUUUUUUUUAUUUUUGUUAUUAUAUGCAUAUGUAUUUGUUCCCAAAUAAUUGUUCUUUGAUCAUGGUUUUGUUUGGCAAUGUGAAUUAAAGAUGAUUGCCUCUAUGCUGGGAUUAAUUUGGCAAUGUGAAUUUAUAAAGGGAAGCGUGUACGUUGUCGCACUCCCUGCCUUCAAAAGGUGCCUAGGUUAUUCUUUGAAGCUUGGACGAGAUUAUCAGAUAACAGUGAAUCAUCCUUGGGAUAUAAUUGGGGAGAGAGCCUAUAAAUGUAUGGUUUACUGUGGAACCCAUGGCAGCCCGAGGUUCAAAUACUUAGCUUGGGAUUUUGGAUAGUGUCAGAGUUUACUCUGUAUAUGUAUCAGGAAUGCAAGUACGAGGGAAGCAAGGAUGAGGAAUUCCCUACAACUUAGUUUGGCACAAGAAUCCGCGCUUUCAUUUUGGGGAGAGAGCUAUGAAUGUACAGUGGGAUUUGGAAGCUCUGAGCCUUUGGAUUCAACGGGUUAUUUCUUUCCUUGAGUGUUGUUUGUUAUGAAAUAGGGUGUCAUAGUAUAAUGUGGCAGUGCUUGUAUUUAUUUUUGUUUAGAAUUAUGAAAUCGAAUAUUAGCAUUGCAUUGCUUUCUUGGAUAAUAAAGAUAUAAGUCAAAUUUCUUCAAUGAGUUGCUCUUUACUAUUUUUUAGUUUUGGGCUUUGUUCAUAAUUGAAUUUAAUUGUAAAUCUACUUCUCUGCGGCAUGGUUUCCCAAAAUAAUGUUUUUCAUGAGUUUUGAUUUGGUUAUCUCUUGUAAAUUAUUUUCGUUUCGUUAUUUCUUUAUUGAUUCUGAGAGCAUAUAGGUCUUGAUUAGUUAUUUUCUCUUUGGUUCUGCAAGAGAGGUAAUCCAUAAACACAAGGCAUGGUUUUAUUUGUUUCCAAAUAGUCCUUCUUUGAUUCAUGUAAUGGCAAAGAUAAAGAUAUAAGUCUGGAUGAAAAUUUGGUCAACUCUUCUAAGAAUCUUUACAUUUCAGUCUUUUUUGAUACUCAAUAUAUACUUUUGAGUUUUCUUUGUGGGUGUUACAGGGGAGAGAGCCUAUAAAUGUAUGGUUUACUGUGGAACCCAUGGCAGCCUGAGGUUCAAAUACUUAGCUUGGGAUUUUGGAUAGUGUCAGAGUUUACUCUGUAUAUGUAUCAGGAAUGCAAGUACGAGUGAAGCAAGGAUGAGGAAUUCCCUACAACUUAGUUUGGCACAAGAAUCCACGCUUUCAUUUUGGUUAUCUCUACUCUGACUGAAUUCUUCACGUUUCUUUGUAUUUUUAGAAGAUCUGGUUUUUUAUAUUACAAGGACCUGUUUUGCUUUGGUGUUACAGGGGAGAGAGCUAUGAAUGUACCGUGGGAUUUGGAAGCUUUGAGCCUUUGGAUUCAUCGGGUUAUUUCUUUCCUUGAGUGUUGUUUGUUAUGAAAUAGGGUGUCAUAGUAUAAUGUGGCAGUGCUUAUAUUUAUUUUUAUUUAGAAUUAUGAAAUCUAAUAUUAUUAGCAUUGCAUUUCUUUCUUGGAUAAUAAAGAUAUAAGUCAAAUUUCUUCAAUGAGUUGCUCUUUACUAUUUUUUAGUUUUGGGCUUUGUUCAUAAUUGAAUUUAAUUGUAAAUCUACUUCUCUGCGGCAUGGUUUCCCAAAAUAAUGUUUUUCAUGAGUUUUGAUUUGGUUAUCUCUUGUAAAUUAUUUUCGUUUCGUUAUUUCUUCAUCGAUUCUGAGAGCAUAUAGUUCUUGAUUAGUUAUUUUCUCUUUGGUUCUGCAAGAGAGGUAAUCCAUAAACACAAUUCCUUUUGGUUCUAUCUUCCUCUUGUUUGAUUACAUUGGCUCCUGAUGUUGAGGUUGGAUUUGGUUCUUUGCUGGAACUUUCGGUUCAUAUUUUAAUGAUCUGCUCUUCCAUUUCUCGUUUGUUCAUGAUAUUUUAAAGCAUAUAUUUUCAUGAUAUUUUAUUUCCUCUGGUGUUGCAGGGACGAUAAUACAUUUCUUUCUCAUGUUUGAUCUUCUCGUUUUGUAUUCUGAUUCUUUAUUUUUAGUCUUUUGAUUGAGGUUUGAUUUGGUUCUGACUUUGAUAUAUGUUAACCGAAAAACGACAUUUCUAUAAUGCAUUAUGUUUUGAAACAAUAACAUUUGAUUAGUAUCAAGCCUCGGGUUUAUUUUGGUACCUCUACUUUGAAUGCGAAUUAUUUUCGUAUCUUUUUUUAUCUGGCCGGUUCUUGUUGUCCAGUCUUCUGGAUUUGCUCCUCUUUAAUUUACCAUUACUACUUAUUCUUUCUUAUUAAUGUUGAAAACUAUACAUGAUUUAAGAUUUUUUGUUUUGUUUUUGUUUUCGUGUUUUUGGAGAGCUUGGUGGGCCUAUCUUUGUUAUGCUGAUUUGUGACUUGGUUUGAAGAACUAUGGUACUAUUCUUUCUUCUUGGUUCUUUUUCUAGAAUCUGUUUGUUACAGCCUAAUUUUAAUUUUCUUGCGGUGUUAACAGAGUAAGAUUUACACGGGUUUGGUUUACCACAAAAGUUUCCUACUUUUUCAAACACUGAACCUUUUUAAUCACCGUCUUAAGUGUCUUAUGUGGACGAAUCAACCUUACAUGUGAACAUAUUGUUAUGCUGAUUUGUGACUUGGUUUGAAGAACUAUGGUACUAUUCUUUCUUCUUGGUUCUUUUUCUAGAAUCUGUUUGUUACAGCCUAAUUUUAAUUUUCUUGCGGUGUUAACAGAGUAAGAUUUACACGGGUUUGGUAUACCACAAAAGUUUCAUACUUUUUCAAACACUGAACCUUUUUAAUCACCGUCUUAAGUGUCUUAUGUGGACGAAUCAACCUUACAUGUGAACUAUAAUGUUCAGUUGGUUGUGUUACAUAUUUUUUCUAGGCUUUAAUUUGGUGAUCUGUACUCAUAUUUGAAUUCUUCACAUUUCAUAAUAGUUGUUUCAGCAUCCACACCUGAUUCCUUUGUGAAAGCUCAUGGUGAGGUUAUCAUAUUCUUCCAGUGUUGACGUUUUUGUGAGUUUCUGUAACGUUUUACUCAGUGGUUUAACAUACAAAAUUCUGGAGUAACUCUUCCCUUCCCAAGGUAAGGAUUUUUGACAACUUGGUUAGGUGGUGUUUGUUAUGAUGACCUGUUUCAUUGGCCAACAAAUUCCUCUGGUAUAGUUCAUGAUUGAGCACACCAUGAUAUUAAAUUGAUAGUGAGGAUAUGAUGUUGGUCUAUAAUAAAUUCUUUUUGUUUCCAUCUUUAGCAAUUCUUUUUGGUCUAUAGUAAAUUGAUAGUUCAUGAUUUCAUUGAUAUUGGAAACAUUGUCACUCUAAAAGGUGUUGAAGUCAAGCCAAAUCGCACUGUCACAAGGUUCUUUCCCUAUCUCUCUCACAUUCUCUCUGAUUUUGUGAUUUUCUCUCUGAUUUUGAGAUUCCCUCUCUGAUUCCCUAUUGAUUUUGAUGAUUCUUUUUGGAGGUUUUGUGCACAACUACUUGCCAAUGCUCAAGCAGCAGCAGUUAAUGCGAAUAACAAGAAACAAGCUUGUGCCAAUGAAGAUUGGAUCCUCUCCUUCACUAUCCUCUCCACUUCAGGGACUUGGUUUGGAGAACUUUGCUACUCUUCUUUCUUUAUUCAUAGCUUUUCUUAAAACUAUUUUCUUCAACCUUGUUAACCUUUCUGUCUUAAGUGGAGAUGUUCAAUUCUUUUCGUUUCAUUAUUUCUUUUAUCGAUCCCGAGAGCAUAUAUUUUAUUGAUUAGUUAUUUUCUCUUUGGUUCUGCGAGAGAGGUAAUCGAUAAACACAAUUCCUUUUGGUUCUAUCUUCCUCUUGAUGUUGAGGUUUGAUUUGGUUCUUCUUGCUGGUUUCGAUCUUGGAAUUUUCUGUUCAUAUUUUAAUGAUCUGCAGCUACUAAUGAAUCGUUUGGGUUUUAAUUGAUUUCUCUUCCAAUUCUCCUUUGAUCAUGUGCACGUUUUGAUAUAAUUUGUUACAUGAUAAAUGUGCUUAUUGCUUUUAAAAUUAUAAAGAAUAUUAAGAUAUUCGUUUAUUCAUUUUGUAGUCAUCCGAUUUCUGAUUUCUGGAUAUCAGGAAAAAUUUGCAAUUCUUGAUCAUAAUGGAUACGAAUGAUAAUUGCUACAGAUUCAUAGAUAAAAUUUCUUCAUUGAAUCGUUCUUUAUUAUUUUUGUUUGAGUUUUGAUCGUAAGUCGGAAAUUGAAUUGUGAACCUGUUUUUUGCAGUGUGGUUCAUCAAAAUAAUGAUCUUCUUUCUCAUGUUUGAUCUUCCCGUUUUGUAUUCCGAUUCUUUUUUUUUUUAGUCUUUUGAUUGAGGUUUGAUUUGGUUCUGACUUUGAUACAUGUUAAUCGAAAAAUUGUAUUAGGACUCCUCUGUAUUAGGUGGAAGCCAAAAUUGUAUUAUUUAAUAUGGCACAUGAUCUUGCAAAUUUGAUGGAAAUAUGUGUACUCUUUUUUAUAUAAUUGUUCAUUCAAUAAAUUUGCUAUCGCUCGAACCUGUUCCGAAGUCAGUUUUGGAUUCGGUUGGUGUUCCGACAUCCCGAAUCGAGGUGGCUCUAAAUUCAGGUUUACCUACCUCUCUAGUUAAAGAGAGAAGAUAGGGUUUCGAAAUCAGAUUUCCUCUCCUAAGUGCUUGAUGGUUCCAGACUCCUAAUCUUGGUUGGCUGUCAUUUCUAGAGGAGUUGGACUGCUUUCCAAUGAUAGUAUCCAACAAGGUCGCCAAUGACCAGUACAACAACUGAAAGCCAGGGUAUCUUACCCUAAAAGGCAGAGUUGGAAUACUUAAUUCAAAUCCAAUAGUAGUUAAAAUAAAAUGAAUAUCUGAUAUUCGUUGAUCCAAUUUUGCAGUGAGCUUAUUUCUAAUUUUUUAUAUCUGGAACAAUUUGCAAUUCUCGGUGAUAAUGGCUACAGAUACAUAGAUCAAAUUUAUUUGAUGAGUAAUUCUUUAUUAUUUUUACUUUUGAGCUUUGAAUGUAAGACAAAAAUUGAAUUUUGUGUACUUGUUCUUAUGCAGUGUGAUUUUCUCAAAAUAAUGAUGUUCUUUUAUGAGUCAUUCUUUAUUAUUUUUAUUUUUGAGCUUUGAAUGUAAGACAGAAAUUGAAUUUUGUGUACCUGUCCUUAUGCAGUGUGGUUUUGUCAAAAUAAUGAUGUUCUUUCAUCAUAGCAUGGAGCCUUGGGUUUUGGUUUGCAUAUCUCAUUCUAAAGCAUGUUUUGUUGAUAUUUUAGGUCAUCUGGUGUUAUAAUUUUCUUUCUCUUGUUUGAUCUUCAGAUUUUGUAUUCUGGUUCUUUUUUCUGGUCUUUUGAUUUUGAGGUUUGAUUUGGUUCUGGGUUUGAUACAUGUUAAUUGAAAAAUGACGUUGUUUUCUACAGUGCAACGUGUUUUGGAACAAUAAUAUUUGAGUAGUAUCAAGCCUCAGGUUUAUGUUGGUACCUCUACUUGUAAUGUGAAAUAUUUUCAUUUCAUUUUUUAUCUGCUGAUUCUUAUUGUCUAGUCUUCUGGAUUUUCUCCUGUAUGAUUUACCAUUAAUAACUUAUUUUUUCUUUUGAAUGUUCACAUACUUCCCGUUCAGCCUAUAAUGUGUGGCUUUCUGGGAUCCAGUGGCAGGAAGAGGUUCACAUACUUUCUGCUCAGCCUUGGGAUAGUGUUGGAGCAUGACUGUGAAGCAUUUAAGAUUCCAGAGUAAAUCUCUUUGCCAUCCCUAAGGAUGAGGAAUUAUUGACAAGCUUGGUUUGACUCUUCUUUUACUCAUCAAGAUUUUGUUUUGUAUAAUUUUUUGAUAUAACACUUUGUUUGAUAAUCGAGAGAUGCAUUUAUCAAAGUUUGAUAUAACACUUUGCAGCGGGCUAAAAAGUUUCGAUGUCCAAAAUGACUUGAUAAAAUGGACAAGGGCGGAGAAUGAUUCAAUAUAGAUAAAUUAAACUUCUUUAAUAUGAUUCGUUCUUUACUAUUUUUUUUAUUUUUUGGCUUUGAUUUUAAGAAGUGCAAAUUGAAUUUUGAACAUGUUUGUCUAGUUUGAUUUUGUGAUCUCUAUUAAAUUCUUUUCGUUUUAAAAAAUUCUUCUAUUAUAUAUUCCUCUUGUUUUGAUCUUCGCGUUCUGUAUUCUUAUUCAUUUUUGGUUGAUAAUUUGGUAUUUUGGUUGGUUUCGUUCUUGGAGUUUGCUGGUUUUAUUUUAAUGAUUUGAUAUUAUUAUCGAGUUCAAUAUGGUUUUAAUUGAAUUGUUCUUGGAGUUUGCUGGUUUUAUUUUAAUGAUUUGAUAUUAUUAUCGAGUUCAAUAUGGUUUUAAUUGAAUUGUUCUUCUAAUUCCACUUAUGCUUCAAAUAUUAUUCUCCGUGUACAGAUGGGUGUUACCCCAUCACACUGAAAUCAUGUGAAGGUGAUGAAUUCUUCACGUUCCUACAUCAAAGAAAUUUUACCCCAUCCCCUACACAUGAUUCACACUGAAAUCUUUCAACAUCGUGUCUACCUAAAUCUUCUUUUAUCAUGUCUACAUAACCUUGGUAGACAGAUGAAAUUUAAGUGAUAGGAGAAACUGGGGGGUAAUUUACCAAAGAAAUCUCUUUCUUUUGAUAAUAUUUUCGGAUCUUUGUAACAUGCAGAAGGUAUAUGUGAGUAAAUAUUUUUGACUGCUAGACAUUUGAUAGUUUCAAAUCAGUGCAUAUCAACUUUCAACAACCAUGCUUAAUGUUGUUUCCAUAUUGUUUUUUUUUUUUAAUUAAAUAAGUUAAUGAUGGUUGCAUAUGAUCUAUAUAUCCAGGAUAUGUUCAAAACAGAGAAAUAAAACUAAAAAAGUUAGCAAUCCUUGCAAGCCCCUCAAUGAUCUGCUUGUUUACUCCAAGCAGUGCAUUAUUGUCCAAUAUGAUUUUAUAUCCCACUAUAAAGGAUUUGGUAGAAAGGUAAACAGAGAAAGUGAUUGAUUGUAAAAUUGAUAUAUUAAUACACUAAAUCAUGUUUUCCAAUUUUCGUUUUUAUAUUCCAA